rnacentral:lncRNA from 1 species
ACAAUAGCUAUUCCCUCCUCCCAAUGGUGAAAGCACCUUGCAUUUCAGACACAAGACUCGGGAUUGCAACUGGAUCUGGCAUGAAGAUCUGCAGAAGGACGGGUUGUCCAUAGUGGUUGGAGGUGCCUUGCCAGGUUCCAAAGGGAGAGAAGCAAUAAAUAGUCUCUCAUGGCAGUGGGCCACAGCAAUGUCCUGUAUGGGAUUAUAUCCCUAAAGAUGCCACAGUGCCGCUCAAUAUCUUGACAUUAGUAGAAGCUAUCCAAUGGGACUUAAAGCCUCACCAGUAGAAGUUACAUCAUUCUUGGAAGCUGCUACAGGUGACUUGUUAGGUUUAAAUCUUAGAGGAGAACAUACUGAUGACAUUUUACUCAAGCAUCGGAAGUGCAAAUUGCAUUGUGAAUACUUUUCCUUAGACCUACACAUAAGUGUGUAGCUCUUACUGCUCAAAGCACUUCUAGCUCCAGCACAAGAGCAUUACAGAAAGCUGAAACUUACCAAAAAUGCAGAGAACUAUGCAUGAUCUUGUGAUCUGACUGAAUAGGAAAUGCUGUCCUUCUGGGAUGUGGCCAUUGAUUUCUCUCCAGAAGAGUGGGAGUGCCUGGAGCCUGUUCAGUGGAAUCUAUACAGGGACGUGAUGUUGGAGAAUUACAGCAACCUUGUGUUCCUGGGUCUAACUUUCUCUAAGCCAUUCUUGGUGACAUUCCUGGAGCAGAGACAAGGGCCUUGGGAUAUGCAGAGACAAGCAGCAGCCCCUGUGCACCCAGGAAGAGCACUCAGUGAUCCUGACUAUUACAGCAAUGCAACUCAGUGUAAAUCACUUUUUGUUAAAAAACAAAGAAUUUAUAUAGGGGGGAAACCCUACAAGUGUGAAGAAUGUGGUAAGGCCCUUAGUUCUCAUAAAACACUGUCUAUACACCAGAGACUUCAUACUGGAGACAAACCCUACAAGUGUAAAGAGUGUCACAAGUCCUUUAGUAGUCGCUCAUCACUGUUUAUACACCAGAAAAACCAUACUGAUGAAAAAAACUUCAAGUGUGAAGAAUGUGGCAGAUCAUUU